GACGGGGGGUCCAAGCGUUGUUCGGAAUCAUUGGGCGUAAAGCGUGUGCAGGUGGUUUUGUAAGUUGGAUGUGAAAGCCCCGGGCUUAACCCGGGAAGUGCAUUCAAAACUGCAUAACUUGAGUAUGGAAGAGGGUCGUGGAAUUCCAGGUGUAGUGGUGAAAUACGUAGAUAUCUGGAGGAACACCGGUGGCGAAGGCGGCGACCUGGUCCUAUACUGACACUCAUACACGAAAGCGUGGGGAUCAAACAGG
rnacentral:rRNA from 1 species